rnacentral:rRNA from 1 species
CGUGUAGGCGGUCGGUCAAGUCCGGUGUGAAAGCCCGGGGCUCAGCUCCGGAAGGGCAUCGGAAACUAGCCGACUAGAGCGCGAUAGAGGAGGGUGGAAUUCCUGGUGUAGCGGUGAAAUGCGUAGAUAUCAGGAGGAACACCGGCGGCGAAGGCGGCCCUCUGGCUCGUUGCUGACGCUGAUACGCGAAAGCGUGGGGAGCAAACAGGAUUAGAUACCCUGGUAGUCCACGCUGUAAACGAUGGGUACUAGGUGUUCGGGGUGUUGACCCCCUGAGUGCCGACGCUAACGCAUUAAGUACCCCGCCUGGGGACUACGGCCGCAAGGCUAAA